rnacentral:rRNA from 1 species
AUUGAACGCUGGCGGAAUGCUUUACACAUGCAAGUCGAACGGCAGCACGGGGGCAACCCUGGUGGCGAGUGGCGAACGGGUGAGUAAUACAUCGGAACGUGCCCGGUCGUGGGGGAUAACGUAGCGAAAGUUACGCUAAUACCGCAUACGAUCUGAGGAUGAAAGCGGGGGACCUUCGGGCCUCGCGCGAUCGGAGCGACCGAUGUCAGAUUAGGUAGUUGGUGGGGUAAAGGCCUACCAAGCCGACGAUCUGUAGCUGGUCUGAGAGGACGACCAGCCACACUGGGACUGAGACACGGCCCAGACUCCUACGGGAGGCAGCAGUGGGGAAUUUUGGACAAUGGGCGCAAGCCUGAUCCAGCCAUUCCGCGUGCAGGACGAAGGCCUUCGGGUUGUAAACUGCUUUUGUAUGGAACGAAAAGGCUCUGGCUAAUACCUGGGGCUCAUGACGGUACCGUAAGAAUAAGCACCGGCUAACUACGUG